CGGCGGACGGGUGAGUAACGCGUGGGUAACCUGCCUCAUACAGGGGGAUAACAGUUGGAAACGGCUGCUAAUACCGCAUAAGCGCACAGUACCGCAUGGUACCGUGUGAAAAACUCCGGUGGUAUGAGAUGGACCCGCGUCUGAUUAGCUAGUUGGUGGGGUAACGGCCUACCAAGGCGACGAUCAGUAGCCGACCUGAGAGGGUGACCGGCCACAUUGGGACUGAGACAUGGCCCAA
rnacentral:rRNA from 1 species